rnacentral:lncRNA from 14 species
AUGUUUCUUCCUGGUCAUCUGAAUUCCAAGAAAACAAUGAGUGGAGACUGGAAAGCUUACAAUUAGAGCAGAGGAGGGAAGUAAUCAUGGUAUAGGGUCUGAAUAAAGUGUGUGGGACCAGACCACUGGCAUAUCAAUUCCAGACAAACAACCAGUACACAGGAACAGGAUGGACAGUGGGUAGUGUCAAGAGAGGUUUCUUACUUGGCACUAUCUAGCAUGAGCUCAGCUGCAGUUUCAAGUACACAAAGGAUGCAGCUCUUCACCUUCAGCAGAAAGGUAGGCAAAACAUGCAAGUCGUCGUGGC